rnacentral:rRNA from 1 species
GUAUAAGUUUAAUCGUUUAUCGAGAAACCGCGAACGGCUCAUUACAAUGGCCAUUAUUUACUUGAUCUUGAUUGUCUAAAUGGAUAACUGUGGAAAAGCUAGAGCUAAUACAUGCACUAAAGCUUUGUCCUUACGGAAAAGCGCAUUUAUUAGAACAAAACCACGCGGCUUCGGCUGCUUCUUGUUGACUCAGAAUAACUUAGCUGACCGCAUGGCCUUGUGCCGGCGGCGUGUCUUUCAAGCGUCCACUUUAUCAACUUGACGGGAGCAUAAUCGACUCCCGUGGUGGUGACGGAUAACGGAGGAUCAGGGUUCGACUCCGGAGAAGGGGCCUGAGAAAUGGCCACUACGUCUAAGGAUGGCAGCAGGCGCGCAAAUUACCCACUCUCGGCUCGAGGAGGUAGUGACGAGAAAUAACGAGACUGUUCUCUUUGAGGCCGGUCAUCGGAAUGGGUACAAUUUAAACCCUUUAACGAGUAUCAAGCAGAGGGCAAGUCUGGUGCCAGCAGCCGCGGUAAUUCCAGCUCUGCAAAUACAUAGAAUUAUUGCUGCGGUUAGAAAGCUCAUAGUUGGAUUCGUAUCGAUACCUUGGAACCCUUCGGGUGUCUCUAGGUGUUAUCGAUUUAUCGUAAUGUUCGGUUUUGAGUCCUUAACAGGAUUCUUAACAGGCAUUGCAAGUUUACUUUGAACAAAUCAGAGUGCUUCAAACAGGCGUUUUCGCUUGAAUGAUCGUGCAUGGAAUAAUAGAAAAUGAUUUCGGUUCAGUUUUAUUGGUUUUACGGACUGAGAUAAUGGUUAACAGAGACAAACGGGGGCAUUUGUAUGGCCCCGUGAGAGGUGAAAUUCUUGGACCGUGGCCAGACAAACUACAGCGAAAGCAUUUGCCAAGAAUGUUUUUAUUAAUCAAGAACGAAAGUCAGAGGUUCGAAGGCGAUCAGAUACCGCCCUAGUUCUGACCGUAAACGAUGCCAACUAGCGAUCCGCCGAUGGAAAUUAUAUUGCCUUGGUGGGGAGCUUCCCGGAAACGAAAGUCUUCCGGUUCCGGGGGAAGUAUGGUUGCAAAGCUGAAACUUAAAGGAAUUGACGGAAGGGCACCACCAGGAGUGGAGCCUGCGGCUUAAUUUGACUCAACACGGGGAAACUCACCCGGCCCGGACACUGUGAGGAUUGACAGAUUGAUAGCUUUUUCAUGAUUCAGUGGAUGGUGGUGCAUGGCCGUUCUUAGUUCGUGGAGUGAUUUGUCUGGUUUAUUCCGAUAACGAGCGAGACUCUAACCUACUAAAUAGUUGGUACAUACUCUUAGUGUAUACAGCUUCUUAGAGGGAUUUGCGGCGUUCAGCCGAAAGAAAUUGAGCAAUAACAGGUCUGUGAUGCCCUUAGAUGUCCGGGGCUGCACGCGCGCUACACUGGCAAAAUCAACGUGCUUGUCCUACCCUGAAAGGGGCGGGUAAACCAUUGAAAAUUUGCCGUGAUUGGGAUCGGAAAUUGCAAUUAUUUUCCGUGAACGAGGAAUUCCAAGUAAGUGCGAGUCAUCAGCUCGCGUUGAUUACGUCCCUGCCCUUUGUACACACCGCCCGUCGCUGCCCGGGACUGAGCCAUUUCGAGAAAUUUGGGGACCGUUGAUUUAAUUUUUCUAAAUUACUUUGAUGGAAACCAAUUUAAUCGCAGUGGCUUGAACCGGGCAAAAGUCGUAACAAGGUAGCUGUAGGUGAACCUGCUGCUGGAUCAUUACUUUAUGUGAUGUUCAAAUUUGAAUUCGCAAUGAAAUGAUCGUUGUGAAACGGCUGUCGCUGGUGUCUAAGUGUUGCUGAUACAGUUGUGAACGUCCGUGGCUGUAUAUGUGGUGACAUGUUAGGACUCUAAUGAGUUUAAGACCUAAUGAGCCUCUUAAGUGAGGCCGCCAGCAACCUUUUUUUUCUCUACAUUUUAAAAAAAAAACUAAAAUUCU